rnacentral:rRNA from 1 species
AGAGUUUGAUUAUGGCUCAGGAUGAACGCUAGCUACAGGCUUAACACAUGCAAGUCGAGGGGCAGCAUGAUCUUAGCUUGCUAAGAUUGAUGGCGACCGGCGCACGGGUGAGUAACGCGUAUCCAACCUUCCCCUUAGUAGGGCAUAGCCCGUAGAAAUGCGGAUUAAUACCCUAUGUUGUAUAUUGAGGACAUCUGAUUUAUACCAAAGGUUUACCGCUAAGGGAUGGGGAUGCGUCUGAUUAGGUUGUUGGCGGGGUAACGGCCCACCAAGCCGACGAUCAGUAGGGGUUCUGAGAGGAAGGUCCCCCACAUUGGAACUGAGACACGGUCCAAACUCCUACGGGAGGCAGCAGUGAGGAAUAUUGGUCAAUGGACGAGAGUCUGAACCAGCCAAGUAAGCGUGCAGGAUGACGGCCCUAUGGGUUGUAAACUGCUUUUAUACGGGGAUAAAGUGACCCACGUGUGGGUUUUUGUAGGUACCGUAUGAAUAAGGACCGGCUAAUUCCGUGCCAGCAGCCGC